GGGCCGCCACCAGGGGGCGCUGCGGGCCGCCGGCGCCGUGGGGGGAAGGGAGGGUCCGCGCCGGGACCGGACCACGUGCGCACCACGUGGCGCACCCGGCAGCCCCGGACCGCGGUCAGACGGCCGGGCCGGCCACGCCGCGCCGCGCCGCCAGCAGCCGGCAAAGGCUAAGGGAUCGGUCUGCCCCUGGCGCCCCUGCUGACCUCUGACCUCCGACCCCACUACCUUUCGGGUUGCCCCUCGCGGGUGGCCGCGCGGUGUGUUUAUAAACAGAGCUCUCGGCGGCGCCCAAACCCCGGAUCGCGGAUCGACUCCCGGGGAGCGGAGCCUCCUGCGCAUGCGCCCCGCGUCUUCCGCGGGGCUCUUCCUGCGCAAGCGCCUUGGCGGGCGGAGGGCGCCGCUGCGCCGGGCGGGGACCCGUCGGGAGCGGGAGGGCGGCGGCCGGGACAAGCUGGGUUCCGCGGUUGCGGCCCGGCUGGGCCCCGCCCGCUCCUUCCUGGGAUGCGUUCCGCGGUUGCUGCCCGGUGUCCUGAGGCCGGGCCCCGUGUGGGAAGUAGGGUACAGGCGGCAGGUCGGGCAGAUGAGCUCCUGAUCUGCGCACCCCCCCCCCCCCCCCCCCCCCCCCCCCCCGGCUGUCCUCCCUGGCCCACGUGGCCCUGGGGCCGGUCCCCACCCAAGAGAGCCUUUAAACCCAGCAGCCCCCAGCCUCCCCCCCGCCCCCCCCCCCCCCCCCCCGUGCUGAUGAAUGGGUGCUCAUAAGGUGUUUACACACAGUGGGAUACUGCUGAGCCUCAAAAAGCCAGAAAGAUACUGUGUUAGCUGUGUCGAUGAACAAGGAAGACAGCUCUGCCCCAGGCCACGAGGGCCACGAACCUGAGGCUGAGUGACAGAAGCCAGACACGGAAGGACCACUCCUGCACUCACAGGAGGGCAAAUUCAUAAGGACAGAGAGAAUAGAGGUGCCCAGGGGAUGGGAAUUCUUUGAUGGGGACGCAGUCUGAGUUUGCGAAGAUGAAAAAAAGUUCUGGAGACGGAUGGUGUCAGCGGCUGCACAGCGAUGUGAAUGUGCUUAAUGCCCCUGAAUCCUGCACUUGACAAUGGUUAAAAUGGCAAAGGGUGUGCGGUGUGUGUGCUUUACCACAUCCUCCCCAGUCAGUAUCACAUCAAGUUGUGCCAGGCAAGAUCCUUUCUGUGUUCUAAAAGGCCCCGACCUCUCUCAUCCCUGCCCACCUCAUCUCGAGCCCCUCCGGCCCCAACCAGUCGCCUUUCUUGCCUAGAACACACCACUUUUGCUGCUCCUUGCUGUUCUUGCUGACAGAAAUGCUUGUCCCUCUCGUCUUCGCACGGCUGUUCCCUUCUCGUGGACUCGUCCAUUUCAUACACCUGCUUAUUUUCUGCCAGGCAUUAUACAAGACCGGGCGAUGCACAGGUGAUCAAAACAGGUAGGAGUCUCCUCUCGUGGGCUUUAUAAUCUGGCAGAGGGUAUAAACGCAGAAAAAUGUCAGAUGGUCCCCACAGGUGGUUUAUUUCAACAUGCAGAUGGCCUUAAGACCGGCAUUCUAGAACAGAGCAUCUCAGACUUGACCGUGUCUGUCUGUGAAUCACCUGGGGGAUGGGUUCAAAUGUGGGUUCUGAUCCAGGAAGUCUGGGGUGGGGCCGAGCUCUGGGGUAUUGCGGAUGGUGUCAAAUGAGGACCACAUUUUGAGUCGCAGAAAUCUCCCAGGUGCUGCUGAUGCGGAUGCUGCUGGUCGCUGGACCACGUCUCGAACAUCAAGGAUCGACUGGGGCCUAAGAGCAGCGGCCGCUGGGCCUUGCUAGAAAUGCAGGCUCUCGGGCACCACCCCCGCCCGCUGCCUCGGAUGCUGCAUCUGACGAGGUCCCAGGUGCCUGCUAGGCAUGUAACCCUGGGAUGAGCCCCGGUCGAGGGUCCUCCCUGUCUUGGCCCUGUGGUCUCACCAGCUCAUAGCGGAGGGGACGGGCCGUGAGUGUCUGGGCUUCUGGCUUCUGUCCCUGGAAAGCUCUGAACAACUCCCUGCCCCCCACCUCCCCCCAACCAAGGGAGAAUAGUGAUAAGUGACUGUUUCUCAAGUGCCCCGACCUUUCUUGGAAUGGACAGCCCCCGGUUAGGAGGAGGAUUUCGUGUUUGCGGGCCACGUUGGCCGCGCCUCUUGUCAUCCUAGAGAUGGCAGUGCAGGACGGCAGUUGAACAAGGCCGCAGCCGCAAACCCGCAGCAGCUCCUCCCAGACGCUGCCAUCAUCCCUCCCACUGUGAUCGCCAGAACUGGCCCCGGUUCUCCCCCGGGGUCCCAGCCCUGAGCUCUGGUUUUCCCGGCCAAGGCCACGGCGGGGGUUGGGGGGGGGGGGGUGUGAGGCAGGCGCCCCGCCCCGAGCCUGGUGGGGGUGGGCGGGGUUCGUGUAUAUCUGCCGCGACAGGAGAGCGUUCGCUAUUCCACCAGCAUUUCAUUGACUGCCUACUGUGUGACAUGCAGCCUGCUACGUGCCGGGGACCUAGAAGGCAAAGCGAGCCCACAGUGCUGGAGCCUGGCCAAAGCCACGAGCCAGCGCUGCCGCGGACAGCUGCCUGGUGCUCGGGGCGGGUAUAAGGAGGGUGGUGACCUCAUCUGGGAGGUGAGAUCGAAGGGACAGACAAGGAGCCUGGCAGGAAGCACACGUAGCAACUUUGAGGCAGAAACCGCAUGCGUGUCAGCACAUCCGUAUAGUUUCCAAAGAUCACUGGUACAAACUGGUCCCAGGCGGUCAAAGCUGGCAUCUACCGGCCAUCCUGUUACUCAGAAAGGGCACGUGCUUUUCGGCAGGAAUGGCCCCAAACGGUGCGGAAAUACCUGUCCUCAAAAUAAUGAGUGCGUGUUCCCAGAGCGGGGGGCCGUGUGCGAGAUGUGGCCCUCGGUCACGCGGAGCAGCGACGGCCCGGCUCUUGUCUGCAGAGGACUGCUGGUUUUACUGAAAAGGUACACAGGACAGAGCCAUGAGGAGAACCUUGAGGUCUCGAGACCUUUCUCUUGCUUGAACAGCAGCCCAUUAAUCAAAGCUUUGCAUUUAGUUUUUCGCCUCUUCUGAAUCGGUCUCACUCGAGUGCCCUCAGCCCGUAUUUGUAGAACCCGCUCACGGGAGCCGCCUGAGGACCUCCGCCAAAUGUCUGGCUGCACCCCAGACGCAUCGUCUCUGGAGUCUCCCCUCUCAGGAAGGGAGAGCUUCCUCUCGUAUGAGUGGUCUCUGGAUCCAGGCGGUCCCCAGAGGACCCUCUGCUCCUGCCUUGUUCUCCCGGGGUUGACGAGAUUUCAGGACUGUUGCCCAGCCAGACGUGGAGUUCUGAAGCUUCUGGAAUCUGCCUUUUUUGGCAAAGAGGCACAGAUGUUCAUCUCUCCUCCGCUGGCACCUUCCCACUGCUCGGGGCUCUGUGAGGGUGGGGGCUACAUCUGUCACGGUCACCGUCCCGCUGGCCCGCCGCGCCCCCAGAGCCUGGCAAAGAGGACGUGUGUCCUCGGUAACUGUGCCGAUCUGCCCCGAGCUGAGCUGACGCCGGUCCGACAGUCUCGCUCGUAGGCUCUGUCGUGUCCGUGAUCCUUCCGAUUUCCCAGCUCUUCUCAA